GACAACUAGAGGGAGAGCAAACUACCAACCUGCUAUGCAAUUUGAUCUUGAUGAGAAGGAGGAUAACUUGGACAAAGAUGGUGCAACAGGAGCGAUUAUUCCACCUCCACUGUCACCUGGGGUGAAUUUCAACAUAACCAGGACCAUGAUACAACUGCUUAAUCUUAAGGGGUUGUUGGAGGACUUCCAUGGGAUGACCCAAGUAUGAACUUGGUGAAUU
rnacentral:lncRNA from 1 species